UACGGAGGAUGCGAGCGUUAUCCGGAUUUAUUGGGUUUAAAGGGUGCGUAGGCGGAAUAUCAAGUCAGCGGUAAAAAUUCGGGGCUCAACCCCGUCGUGCCGUUGGAACUGAUGUUCUUGAGUGGGCGAGAAGUAUGCGGAAUGCGUGGUGUAGCGGUGAAAUGCAUAGAUAUCACGCAGAACUCCGAUUGCGAAGGCAGCAUACCGGCGCCCAACUGACGCUGAAGCACGAAAGCGUGGGUAUCGAACAGG
rnacentral:rRNA from 1 species